rnacentral:lncRNA from 1 species
UUUAGGUUGCAGUCUUGUAAUUGACUGCUCCAUAGGCUUACAUGCUAAACAGCUGAUCUUUGAAAAUAAAAAAUUAAAAAAUGCUACAUAGAAAAAGAAUUUCAUGUUCAUAUCAUGUAUGUACUAAUGUGAAAUUGUGAUUUAAUCGAAAAAAAAGUGGAUCAUGCCACGAAGAAUAAAAAGUUACGUAACCCUGAAGUCAAAACAUUUUUUUUUCUACUUUCUGUUUGCUGUUUUUACUAGGCCGCACCACUUCCAGUAAACAUGAUAUCCUUCCACUUUCCUGGAUUGAUAUCCCCAAAAAGAUGCAAGAUUUUUUAAAAAUCUAUAUAUAUGUUUCAAUUCAGCAUGAACCUAUAAUCAAACAGAAAAAAAUGAGUCCAGAAAAAAAUUCAUAAAAAAAUGGACUAUUUUGUUUCCCUCCAUGUUUUGACAUGUACCGGAAACUGGAGUUGUAAUACAAGACUAGUACCUU